rnacentral:lncRNA from 1 species
CUCAGUUGACACUCCAAUAAACACAAAAUUAAGGAAGUCUUCAGCACCUUGCCUACAGUUUCUUCCUUUCAACUUUUCAAAUGAAGAACAUUUACAACUACUUGACGCAAAGGAGAUCUCAUUUAUACACCAGAAUACCUUGCGAGACAAGUAUAUGACCACACUCGUCCAUCCAACAAUCCAGUCCACAUCCAUCCCAAGCAAGAAGCUAGGCUAAGAACUUAAUCGCUCAAUUAUAACAACCAAAAUUUACUCGUUCUCACAAGAAUACUGCAAAGAGCUAUCGAGUUCAAAUAAGAACAUUGAUACAGUACAGAUCAUGUGUUUGGCUAAAGCACAUAUCUUUUAUACAUCUAUAACACAAUUGCAAUACGAACAGAAACAAGGCAAGGGUGCCAUCUCUUCCAACAGUUCAGGUCCAUGAUCAAAAGGAGCUUUUACGUAAUGUUGUAACCUGUUUAUCACUAAGCCCAACCUCCCAACUUCUAGUCAUCUCAUGCUCUAUCAUGAUAUGUAUCUAUAUUCGUACAAAUACAAAUGCAUGUUUGAUGUCCUUCGUUUAACGAAUAUUCAGAAUAAGCCAUAACAAUUUUCUCCAAAAGCAAGAUCAUUGUCUUGCUUAGGUAGUCUGCCUCAUUAUGUUCCCAAGCUAAUGAUAGGUGAAUAAUUGUUUCACUCACAUGACAUCCCCCUUAAAAGCAUCUAUCUUUCUUGCCUAGGCCAAGCUACGAAUACAACAACAUACCCAAUGUAGUCCCGUGAGCGCGGUCUGGGAAAGCCAAGCUAUGAAUAGUUAACAAUUUUACAACUAGCACAAACGACAUGCUUGGAACAUACAGCCACUACAGGUUAAACCAAAGAUUAUAUCUAGCGACUCUGAGAAAUCCUUUCUGUUAAGAAGCAAAAAAGAGAAUCCGAGUUUAACUAUUCAAGCCACAAAAGCUUUACACAGUUUAUCACCGACGUAGUUCAUAAGUUGUUAGUCCUCAAAAUUGAUCCAGGAUGACAUAUUCCUUACCCAAAAAAAUAACCACCUCAAUCCAAAUAAAAAUGUACUUCAUAAAAGGAAAGAGUUCCUUCAUAGCAAAGAUCUUUAAAUUGCUAAAAGUGGAUGUCCGAGUAACAUAAUCACACGACUUCAACGAUGAGACUCAGUCUAUCUAGCCAAAAGAAAAUGUUCGGAGAAUGAAAAAAAAAAUGUAUCAAAACAUUCCACGGGCAUAAACAACUACC